CUCAUCAAGAGUAGUGGAGGGACAGGCCCUGUGAAGCUACAGCAACCAUUCCGAGUGGAAAAGGUGCUAAUUCCUAUGGCGUAGCCGAUAGAUG
rnacentral:ncRNA from 1 species